AGCACUCUAUCCACUAGACCACCUGGCUACCUUAAAGAAAAAUAAUGCUGAGAAGAAUAACUUGCUUCUCCUUCCCAGUCUUGUAAAAAUUUCUGUUGUGACACAUUUGCAUUAGAAUAAGCAUUUUUCAACGCUGAAACAUGAUAAACUCAUCAUGGAGGUGAUUCAAGGUUUUAUUAGCUUCUCGAAGGAGUAUUGAAGUAAACCCCUGGGUCCAAUGUCUUUGAUCCAAAAUUUUAUGAGUCUUGGUGACUAUCCCAGAGUCUUGCAAGGUACCAUAUGCUGUCUUGCUGAUCAUACAGAUUUCUGUUUUAAAGUGAACAGAGCUAUCAGAAUUGCCUCUUGUAUCCUUAUUGAGUAUCCUUUCUGUGCUUUGACCAAGUAAACUUACUUUUAUUAGUUAUUGAAUGACAUAUGUGUGUUUCAUUUCAUUCCAGCAUUGGACUUAAAUAACUAGGGGAACAGGCUAAAUUAGUUUCAUCCUACAAUAAUUAUAAAUGGAAGAUAGCAUUGCAUUUGGAGAAUGACAUUA
rnacentral:lncRNA from 1 species